ACUUAAAUAGUUUAAAAAUAAAAUUUUAAUUUGUGGAGUUAAAGAUAUGAAUAUUUCAUUUUAAGUU
rnacentral:tRNA from 1 species